UGACUUCAGACAUUACAAACCUGGUACCUCAGAAAAGAGAGUCCAGUGGAUCAAACUCUUGCCCUCCAGUAGACUGCGGAUGCUCACCCUUCUGUGGGAGUCGGAGGUUCCUCUUCUGUGCUCCAGACAACCGGCUACCACCUAGAGGAUGCUGAUACCCUCUUUUUCUCACCAUCUUCUGCCCCCAGACCCCUUCAGAGGCAUAGCAGGCUGGAAGGAGCAGCCUACCAGUGCCCUAGUCACCAUAGGGGAGCCACCGGGCAGCAGAAAGAGGCGGCCAGCCGACGCCUGCCCUUCGGCCGAAUGACCCACCGCUGCCGCGCCGCCACCUCUGCACCUGCCUGGCUGAGGAAAGGAAAAGACUUUCGGGGGUUUAGAAGAAGACAAGUCUUCCGGCU
ensembl:lncRNA